AAGAUGGAUUACAUUAACUUGCAACUUUUCAGAUCCACCUAGGGCGGACAAACACUCAAUAUAUACUCUUCUCCUUGCUGAAAAGUAUUUGUAAAAAGCAUGGAGUUAAGGUUUAUGCUUGUGUAGGUCGACAAAGAAUUCGUGGAAGUUUUAGCAUUCAGAUAGAUAUCCGAGCUGAUCUCAUUGAUGCAUAUAUGUAUGUGUUGAAAAGGACCCCCAAUUUAAUUGUCCUUCUAAUUUACUACAUCAAACAUUUUACCCAAAAAAAAAGAAGAAAAAGAAAA